CGCACACGCGCCGGACCGGGUACCGCUGUGCCCGGCCUGGCCGCGGCCUAGUCCCGGCAGACGGGACUGACGAGGUCACCAAGCCCAGGCCGAGACGGCGCGGGUGUCAGGGACUUGGGAAUCCCCCUCCCCCAGUCCCGAUCCCGCUUUCCUUUGGGGUUUCACCUCAGAGGACCCGACAGCACUCUUGCAGUUUCCUCAUCCUCAAGAUGGACUGCACCUUCUGGCAUCUCAAGUGGUUCUUGUGAAGAUUAAAUGAAUCCAUCAGGCCGGGUGCGGUGGCUCACGCCUGUAAUCCCAGCACUUUGGGAGGCCGAGACGAGCGCAUCACCUGAGGUCAGGAGUUCCAGACCAGCCUGGCCAACAAGCUGCCAGCAGCCUUGAAGCCACCUGGGACUGCACAGUAUGUCUGUGUGUGCCUUGAUCGCAUCACCCCCUGGACCUCCAGUGACCGAGAUCUCCCGCCAGACACCCGGGGCUGAGUCCUCGGAGAAGCCGCCUGCCGGGUGCAUCACCAGGACUCCAUUGGUGGUCAGUCCAUCCAUCAGGCCAUCUGGGGUCCGCCAUUUGGCCGCUCGCUCCUGGGACCACAUGAGGGAUCAGAUCACAUCCCCCAGGGGCCCCCCAGCAGGCCAUGUGCCAGAGGCACUGCCCCCGCUACCUUCAAGUUCAGAGGCGGCCCAGAGAGGACUGGCAUUGAAGCUGCAUGACUUGAGCGUCUCUCUGGGCCUCACUUUGCUCAUCAGUUAGGUGGGGUUGCUAACUGCCAGGACCACCAUUUGGAUUACUGUGGGCUGGUUCAUCACCUCAAGAUGCUGCACCUCCCAA
rnacentral:lncRNA from 1 species